CUUUUUGCAACUUGGAGCCUUAAUAAGUAAAUAACUGUACACUGCAACAUGUCAAUCCUAAAAGUACCAUCUGUGAGUGGAUGAAAGUUGUGUAGGGGUUGGCAUCAGACUUGUAAUUGGAGAUUGUGGUAAAAUUAAAUUCCACCAGUGUUGAGAGAUUUUAUCUAGCUGUUGAAAUUACACAUUAGAUUUUUAACCAAUGUUGUGACCAUCAUUGAGAAUUUCAAAUAUCCACAAGGACUGAUUUGAUUUGAACCCUGUCCAUUUUGAUUAUUAGGCAGAUAUUCAAGCACAUUGAAUCCAGGUCAACUUUUUUUUUUUUUUUUUCUUUCUACAUCAUACUGCUUUAAAAUCGUUUUUGAUCACUCUAAGCCGGUAUACCUUGUAUACAUUUAUGAUUAAAGAGACAGCUAUAAGAUACAAGGGAAUCCGGGAACCAGUCCCUAGCUCUUAUUGAAUAGACCCCUUGGUUCUUUUACAUGCCCAGUGUAUAGCACUGAUACAUGUGAGGAUUACCUGGAUUUCUUACCAGUACACCUCUAGGUAGGUGGGAAACACUGAAUUUGUCUCUGAAAAAUCCCAAGGGUGUAACCCAGGAUCGAACCCGGGACCUCAGGAGUGAUAAUUAGUGGUUUAACCAACUGAGGUAUCGCGCCACCUAACAGCAAUACUGCUGGAAGUGGCCUUCAUCAUGUUCAUCUAAAAUAGUUUUACAUUGUUCAAAAUGUUUAUGAACAUUUUAUAAAGAUAAAGACUAUAAACCAUAAAAAAACAUAGAUUUAGACUAAUCAGUGUGCAUGAGAUGUCAUCUUUUUGUAUUUUCAGUUUUCAGUUAAAAUAAAAGAACAUAUUUUUGACAGAACUAUUUAAAGCUGCACACCUCCAGAUGUGCCAAAAUAGAAAAAAGAAAUUUAAUCUCUAGAAAAAUGUAUUAAGAUCUCAAGAAAAUUAAAAAGAUUCAAUAUUUAAUUAAUUUUGUUACAUGUUAUGAGCGAUUGAUGACUGAUUUUGCAGUAUCAAUCACUGUAAUUCUACUGUGUUACUAAGACAGUAAGAGGUAUUUAUGCAUAUUUUUGGUAAUUAACAUGGAUUUUAAGUUCUGUAUGAAAUGUGUAAAUUACUGUCUUUGUUUACUUCACAAUAAUACACUUUUAAAUACAUUUUCAAAAUUUUCAUGAAAAUUAGCAUGAAUCUGGAGGCAUGCUGCUUUAAGACCAAAAAUCCCAAAUGUUGCCUCUCUUUUGGAUGAAAAUAUGACCUACAUAGUUUCAGUAGAAAACCUGUAAAUGGGAAAGCAAUUGAUUUCUUCUUUAAGCUGGUAUUCUAAGUUAUAAAAUGUUCAUAUGAAUCAUAGCGUGAGAUUGUUGUUUUUUGUCUUCACAGAUACCAUUACCAUCCAUGAUAUCGAAAACUUUGUGUUCAGCGAUGGAGCAAGUAUACCAGCAUUCAACUGCAAGCCAUACAAUGAAGAUUAUUCUGGAAGUCAAGUGCCAAAGAAUGAGAUGUCUAAUGGUGAUGUAGCCAAAACUUCAGGA